rnacentral:rRNA from 1 species
UGAGGAAUAUUGGUCAAUGGGCGGAAGCCUGAACCAGCCAAGUCGCGUGAGGGACGACGGUCCUAUGGAUUGUAAACCUCUUUUGCCGGGGAGCAAAGCCGACCUUGCGAGGUUGGAAGGAGAGUACCCGGAGAAAAGCAUCGGCUAACUCCGUGCC